CUACGGGGCGCUGCAGUGGGGAAUAUUGGACAAUGGGCUAAGGCCUGAUCCAGCAAUUCUGUGUGGAUGAUGAAGGUUUUCGGAUCGUAAAAUCCUUUCAGUUGGGAAGAAGUAAGUGACGGUACCAACAGAAGAAGCAACGGCUAAUUACGUGCCAGCAGCCGCGGUAAGACGUAAGUUGCAAGCGUUAUCCGGAAUUACUGGGCAUAAAGGGCAUCUAGGCGGUUCGAUAAGUCAGAAGUGAAAAUUCAGGGCUCAACCCUGUCCUUGCUUUUGAAACUGUGGAACUGGAGUGCAGGAGAGGAGGGCUGAACUACAAGUGUAGAGGUGAAAUUCGUAGAUAUUUGUAGGAAUGCCAAUGACGAAGGUAGCUCUCUGGACUGCAACUGACGCUGAAGUGCGAAAGCUAGGGUAGCAAACGGGAUUAGAUACCCUAGUAGUC
rnacentral:rRNA from 1 species